rnacentral:rRNA from 1 species
UACCAGCACCCCGAGUGGUCGGGACGUUUAUUGGGCCUAAAGCAUCCGUAGCCGGUUCUACAAGUCUUCCGUUAAAUCCAGCUGCUUAACAGAUGGGCUGCGGAAGAUACUAUAGAGCUAGGAGGCGGGAGAGGCAAGCGGUACUCGAUGGGUAGGGGUAAAAUCCGUUGAUCCAUUGAAGACCACCAGUGGCGAAGGCGGCUUGCCAGAACGCGCUCGACGGUGAGGGAUGAAAGCUGGGGGAGCAAACCGG